UCCUGGCUCAGGAUGAACGCUAGCGACAGGCUUAACACAUGCAAGUCGAGGGGCAGCGGGGGCGAAGCUUGCUUCGCCUGCCGGCGACCGGCGCACGGGUGAGUAACACGUAUGCGACCUGCCCCCCGCAGGGGGAUAACCGGGAGAAAUCCCGACUAAUACCGCGUAACGCCGCGGGGCUGCAUGGCCCCGCGGCCAAAGGAAGCGAUUCCGGCGGGGGAUGGGCAUGCGGCGCAUUAGCUAGUCGGCGGGGUAACGGCCCACCGAGGCGACGAUGCGUAGGGGUUCUGAGAGGAAGGUCCCCCACACUGGUACUGAGACACGGACCAGACUCCUACGGGAGGCAGCAGUGAGGAAUAUUGGUCAAUGGGCGGGAGCCUGAACCAGCCAAGUCGCGUGAGGGAAGACGGUCCUACGGAUUGUAAACCUCUUUUGCCGGGGAGCAACGGGGUCCUUGCGAGGGCCCGAUGAGAGUACCCGGAGAAAAAGCAUCGGCUAACUCCGUGCCAGCAGCCGCGGUAAUACGGAGGAUGCGAGCGUUAUCCGGAUUUAUUGGGUUUAAAGGGUGCGUAGGCGGGCUGUUAAGUCAGCGGUCAAAUGUCGGGGCUCAACCCCGGCCUGCCGUUGAAACUGGCGGCCUCGAGUGGGCGAGAAGUAUGCGGAAUGCGUGUGUAGCGGUGAAAUGCAUAGAUAUCACGCAGAACUCCGAUUGCGAAGGCAGCAUACCGGCGCCCGACUGACGCUGAGGCACGAAAGCGUGGGUAUCGAACAGGAUUAGAUACCCUGGUAGUCCACGCAGUAAACGAUGAAUGCUAGCUGUCCGGUUCUACGGGACUGGGUGGCACAGCGAAAGCGUUAAGCAUUCCACCUGGGGAGUACGCCGGCAACGGUGAAACUCAAAGGAAUUGACGGGGGCCCGCACAAGCGGAGGAACAUGUGGUUUAAUUCGAUGAUACGCGAGGAACCUUACCCGGGCUCAAACGCCAAAGGACAGCCGCUGAAAGGCGGCCUCCCUCCGGGGUCUUUGGCGAGGUGCUGCAUGGUUGUCGUCAGCUCGUGCCGUGAGGUGUCGGCUUAAGUGCCAUAACGAGCGCAACCCCCAUCGACAGUUGCUAACGGGUGGAGCCGAGGACUCUGUCGAGACUGCCGGCGCAAGCUGCGAGGAAGGCGGGGAUGACGUCAAAUCAGCACGGCCCUUACGUCCGGGGCGACACACGUGUUACAAUGGCCGGUACAGCGGGAUGCCAGGGCGCGAGUCCGAGCGGAACCCGAAAACCGGUCUCAGUUCGGAUUGGAGUCUGCAACCCGACUCCAUGAAGCUGGAUUCGCUAGUAAUCGCGCAUCAGCCACGGCGCGGUGAAUACGUUCCCGGGCCUUGCACUCACCGCCCGUCA
rnacentral:rRNA from 1 species